rnacentral:lncRNA from 1 species
GGUUUUAUAGGGUUGAGUGAGGCCUAAAACCCACUUCUAAUAAUCAUAGUAAAAUUUUAGUCAAUUACUAUAAAUUACUAGUGGGGAGAGGAAUUCUAAGUGUAAGGAUUUUAAUUUUUAUGUUAUAACACAAGUGUAUGAAUUAAAAAGUGAUAAUUAAAUUUAAUUAUGUAAAAUGAUUAGUUUAUUUAGUUAGAUGCCUG